rnacentral:rRNA from 1 species
UACGUAGGGUCCGAGCGUUUGUCCGGAAUUAUUGGGCGUAAAGAGCUCGUAGGCGGUUUGUCGCGUCUGCUGUGAAAUCCCGAGGCUCAACCUCGGGUCUGCAGUGGGUACGGGCAGACUGGAGUGCGGUAGGGGAGAAUGGAAUUCCUGGUGUAGCGGUGGAAUGCGCAGAUAUCAGGAGGAACACCGAUGGCGAAGGCAGCUCUCUGGGCCGUAACUGACGCUGAGGAGCGAAAGCGUGGGGAGCGAACAGG